rnacentral:sRNA from 1 species
GCCCCCGUCAUUGGGGAGUAGCCUCUUUCCGCACAGGAAAGGAACGCAUCAACAGACUUGGCUGAGGCCAUGGUGCGCUCGACUCAGGUUUGGCGAGACCUUUGACGCGAUGUCGACACCCGGGUUGGGCGGCGGCAUCGCGUCAUUGUGUUUACCGCCGCCCGACCCC